UGCGCCUGGCGCAUCUAUCAGCCGGAGUAAGAUGUGAUAGUCCACUGGUAAACGGUGGGCCCGGCCGCAAGGUUGGGAUAUGUGUACCGGGCGGAAGCCGGAGCAUGCUAUUCGUCUGUUGGGCUGUCUAGUCAGUGCACUUUCUCUGUGGUGAACACCACGACCGGUGGAAUUGCCAGUCUGCUGUAGUCAAGUCGUAUUCAGUCGGUUCUUGUAGUCAACUGGGUGCGAUCACAGGCAAACUCAGUAAACGGCGUAGGGGUGUCUCGGCAUCCUUACGUGUUAUCGGCUGCUGGUUGUCAACGGGCCUGCUUGAUGAUUGUUGUAACCGUCAUUAGGUGGUCUGGUGGGCUAUGGUGGUAAGAAUAACUGUGCAAGGCAUCGGAGUUCUCGGCCUCAAAUGCAUCCUGCAUACACGUUACAAGUGGAGUGGGGUGCCAUUGCAGCCUGCCUGUUGUUGGGUCUGAUUGUCGUGUCGCCUGCGCAAAGUGGGCCCGGCAGUGGCCUGAUGCGGGAUGGGUUGUGGAUGGUGCCUCCUGUGUAGGGUGUGGUGGGUCAAA
rnacentral:rRNA from 1 species